rnacentral:rRNA from 1 species
GACGAACGCUGGCGGCGUGCUUAACACAUGCAAGUCGAGCGGUAAGGCUCCUUCGGGAGUACACGAGCGGCGAACGGGUGAGUAACACGUGAGCAAUCUGCCCUUCACUUCGGGAUAACUCCGGGAAACCGGUGCUAAUACCGAAUACGACCACCUCAGGCAUCUGAUGGUGGUGGAAAGUUCCGGCGGUGAAGGAUGAGCUCGCGGCCUAUCAGCUUGUUGGUGGGGUAACGGCCCACCAAGGCAACGACGGGUAGCCGGCCUGAGAGGGUGACCGGCCACACUGGGACUGAGACACGGCCCAGACUCCUACGGGAGGCAGCAGUGGGGAAUAUUGGACAAUGGGCGAAAGCCUGAUCCAGCAACGCCGCGUGAGGGAUGACUGCCUUCGGGUUGUAAACCUCUUUCAGCAGGGACGAAGCGCAAGUGACGGUACCUGCAGAAGAAGCACCGGCCAACUACGUGCCAGCCGCCGCCGUAAGAC